rnacentral:rRNA from 1 species
GUACCCUACGGGAGGCAGCAGUGAGGAAUAUUGGUGAAUGGGCGCAAGCCUGAACCAGCCAAGUCGCGUGAGGGAAGACGGCCCUACGGGUUGUAAACCUCUUUUGCCGGGGAGCAGUGGUCCGGACGCGUCCGGACCGGGAGAGUACCCGGAGAAAAAGCAUCGGCUAACUCCGUGCCAGCAGCCGCGGUAAUACGGAGGAUGCGAGCGUUAUCCGGAUUUAUUGGGUUUAAAGGGUGCGUAGGCGGGCAUUUAAGCCGGCGGUCAAAUGUCGGGGCUCAACCCCGGCCUGCCGUCGGAACUGG